GACGAACCGUGCGAACGUUGUUCGGAAUCACUGGGCUUAAAGGGCGCGUAGGCGGAUCAUCAAGUCAGGGGUGAAAUCCCACGGCUCAACCGUGGAAGUGCCUUUGAUACUGAUAGUCUCGAGUCCGGAAGAGGUGAGUGGAACUGCGAGUGUAGAGGUGAAAUUCGUAGAUAUUCGCAAGAACACCAGUGGCGAAGGCGGCUCACUGGUCCGGUACUGACGCUGAGGUGCGAAAGCGUGGGGAGCAAACAGG
rnacentral:rRNA from 1 species